AGUGAACGCUGGCGGUAGGCCUAACACAUGCAAGUCGAACGGCAGCACAGUAAGAUCUUGCUCUUACGGGUGGCGAGUGGCGGACGGGUGAGGAAUACAUCGGAAUCUACUUUUUCGUGGGGGAUAACGUAGGGAAACUUACGCUAAUACCGCAUACGACCUACGGUUGAGAGCAGGGGAUCUUCGGGCCUUGCGCGAUUGAAUGAGCCGAUGUCGGAUUAGCUAGUUGGGUGGGUAAAGGCCCAGCAAGGCGACGAUCCGUAGCUGGUCUGAGAGGAUGAUAAGCCACACUGGAACUGAGACACGGUCCAGACUCCUACGGGAGGCAGCAGUGGGGAAUAUUGGACAAUGGGCGCAAGCCUGAUCCAGCCAUACCGCGUGGGUGAAGAAGGCCUUCGGGUUGUAAAGCCCUUUUGUUGGGAAAGAAAAGCAGCAGGUUAAUACCCCGCUGUUCUGACGGUACCCAAAGAAUAAGCACCGGCUAACUUCGUG
rnacentral:rRNA from 1 species